CAGGAUAUAGUUUAGGUAGAAUGCCGGUUUUGGGGACCGGUGGUAAAGGUUAAAGUCCUUUUAUCCUGA
rfam:Rana catesbeiana mitochondrial cytb gene for cytochrome b, partial cds and D-loop region.